CAACAUUCCUGGGUUCCAGUGAGGGUCCUCUUCUGGGUUGCAGACUGCUGACUUCUUAUUGUCACCUUGCAUUUGCUAGGUCUUUGAGUUCUGAUUGUGGCAAUUAGCUUUAGCAUCCUCUUUUAUGUCCUCUUAUAAAAACGAUCCACCACCUAGUCCAUAUCUCAAUUUCAUCUUCAAUAUGGCUCCAGACUCCUCCUUCCCUUUGUCUCUCCUUGUUCCAG
rnacentral:lncRNA from 10 species